CAGCCGCCGCGGUAAUACGUAGGGUGCAAGCGUUAAUCGGAAUUACUGGGCGUAAAGCGUGCGCAGGCGGUGUUGUAAGACUGAUGUGAAAUCCCCGGGCUCAACCUGGGAACUGCAUUGGUGACUGCAACGCUGGAGUGCGGCAGAGGGGGAUGGAAUUCCGCGUGUAGCAGUGAAAUGCGUAGAUAUGCGGAGGAACACCGAUGGCGAAGGCGAUCCCCUGGGCCUGCACUGACGCUCAUGCACGAAAGCGUGGGGAGCAAACAGGAUUAGAUACCCCGGUAGUCCCUGUCUCUUAUAC
rnacentral:rRNA from 1 species